UACGGGGGGGGCAAGCGUUGUUCGGAAUUACUGGGCGUAAAGGGCUCGUAGGCGGCCAACUAAGUCGGAUGUGAAAUCCCCAGGCUUAACCUGGGAACUGCAUCCGAUACUGGAUGGCUUGAAUCCGGGAGAGGGAUGCAGAAUUCCAGGUGUAGCGGUGAAAUGCGUAGAUAUCUGGAGGAAUACCGGUGGCGAAGGCGGCAUCCUGGACCGGCAUUGACGCUGAUGGAGC
rnacentral:rRNA from 1 species